GCCAGGCACGGUGGUGCACGCCUGUAAUCCCAGCAACUUGGGAAGCUGAGGUAGGAGGAUUGCAAGUUCAAAGCCAGCCUCAGCAACUUAAUGAGGCACUUGCAACUAAGUGGGACCCUAUCUCUA
rnacentral:sRNA from 1 species